CGGGUGGAUUAGUGGCGAACGGGUGAGUAAUACGUGAGUGACCUACCUUUGACUCUGGGAUAAGCCUGGGAAACUGGGUCUAAUACCGGAUAUGACUUUCAGGCGCAUGUUUGGAAGUGGAAAGCGUUAUGGAGUGGUUUUAGAUGGGCUCACGGCCUAUCAGCUUGUUGGUGGGGUAAUGGCUUACCAAGGCGACGACGGGUAGCCGGCCUGAGAGGGUGACCGGCCACACUGGGACUGAGACACGGCCCAGACUCCUACGGGAGGCAGCAGUGGGGAAUAUUGCACAAUGGGCGCAAGCCUGAUGCAGCGACGCCGCGUGAGGGAUGACGGCCUUCGGGUUGUAAACCUCUGUUAGCACCGAAGAAGCGAAUAGUGACGGUAGGUGCAGAGAAAGCGCCGGCUAACUACGUGCCAGCAGCCGCGGUAAUACGUAGGGCGCGAGCGUUGUCCGGAAUUAUUGGGCGUAAAGAGCUUGUAGGCGGUUGGUCGCGUCUGCUGUGAAAGGCCGGGGCUUAACCCCGUGUAUGGCAGUGGGUACGGGCUAACUAGAGUGCAGUAGGGGAGACUGGAACUCCUGGUGUAGCGGUGGAAUGCGCAGAUAUCAGGAAGAACACCGAUGGCGAAGGCAGGUCUCUGGGCUGUAACUGACGCUGAGAAGCGAAAGCAUGGGGAGCGAACAGGAUUAGAUACCCUGGUAGUCCAUGCCGUAAACGUUGGGCACUAGGUGUGGGGGGCAUUCCACGUUUUCCGCGCCGUAGCUAACGCAUUAAGUGCCCCGCCUGGGGAGUACGGCCGCAAGGCUAAAACUCAAAGAAAUUGACGGGGGCCCGCACAAGCGGCGGAGCGUGCGGAUUAAUUCGAUGCAACGCGAAGAACCUUACCAAGGCUUGACAUGUAUCAGAUCGCGUCAGAGAUGGCGUUUCCCUUUGGGGCUGGUAUACAG
rnacentral:rRNA from 1 species